GAAAGAACGUAGCGAAAUGCGAUAAGUAAUGUGAAUUGCAGAAUUCAGUGAAUCAUCGAAUCUUUGAACGCACAUUGCGCCCGCCAGUAUUCUGGCGGGCAUGCCUGUUCGAGCGUCAUUUCAACCAUCAAGCCCCAGGCUUGUGUUGGGGACCUGCGGCUGCCGCAGGCCCUGAAAACCAGUGGCGGGCUCGCUGUCACACCGGGCGUAGUAGAUUUUAUCUCGCUCUGGGCGUGCUGCGGGUUCCGGCCGUUAAAAAACCCUUUUAACCCAAGGUUGACCUCGGAUCAGGUAGGAAUACCCGCUGAACUUAAGCAUAUCAAUAAGCGGAGGA
rnacentral:misc_RNA from 1 species